rnacentral:tRNA from 1 species
GUAGAUAUAGUUUAACUAAAACAUUAGAUUGUGAAUCUAACUACAGAGGCUAACCACCUCUUAUUUACC